rfam:Schizosaccharomyces japonicus yFS275 unplaced genomic scaffold supercont5.3, whole genome shotgun sequence.
GCAGCGAUGCCCGAGUGGUCUAAGGGGGCAGAUUUAAGUUGACCCGAGUGCGGUUGAUGGAAACUCUGCUGUUGGUAAACGCGCGAGUUCGAACCUCGCUCGCUGCA